GACGAACGCUGGCGGCGUGCUUAACACAUGCAAGUCGAACGGAAAGGCCCUGCUUUUGUGGGGUGCUCGAGUGGCGAACGGGUGAGUAACACGUGAGUAACCUGCCCUUGACUUUGGGAUAACUUCAGGAAACUGGGGCUAAUACCGGAUAGGAGCUGCUGCUGCAUGGGGGGGGGUGGAAAGUUUCGGCGGUUGGGGAUGGACUCGCGGCUUAUCAGCUUGUUGGUGGGGUAGUGGCUUACCAAGGCUUUGACGGGUAGCCGGCCUGAGAGGGUGACCGGCCACAUUGGGACUGAGAUACGGCCCAGACUCCAACGGGAGGCAGCAGUGGGGAAUAUUGAACAAUGGGCGGAAGCCUGAUGCAGCAACGCCGCGUGCGGGAUGACGGCCUUCGGGUGGUAAACCGCUUUCGCCUGUGACGAAGCGUGAGUGACGGUAAUGGGUAAAGAAGCACCGGCUAACUACGUG
rnacentral:rRNA from 1 species